rnacentral:tRNA from 2 species
UAUAAAGUAAGCUAAAUUAAGCUAGUGGGCUCAUACCCCAAAUAUGAUCUUUCCUUUAUUA